rnacentral:rRNA from 1 species
CUGAUAAGUUAUUUAAUGGCCGCAGUAUUUUAACUGUGCAAAGGUAGCAUAAUAAUUAGUCUUUUAAUUGAAGGCUUGUAUGAAUGAUUGGACGAGAUAUAAGCUGUCUCAUAAAAAUUUUUAGAACUUAAUUUUUUAGUUAAAAAGCUAAAAUAAAUUUAAAAGACGAGAAGACCCCGUAGAUCUUUAUAUUUUUUUUUUUAUUGKUUUUUUUUUAGUUUUUUUAUAAAUUAAUAAUUAAAAAUAUUUUGUUGGGGUGACAUUGAAAUUUAAUAAACUUUCAAUUUUUAAUACCAUUGAUUUAUGAAUUUAUGAUCCUUUAUUAUUGAUUAAAAUUUUAAGUUACCUUGGGGAUAACAGCGUAAUUAUUUUGGAGAGUUCAUAUCGAUAAAAUAGAUUGCGACCUCGAUGUUGGAUUAAGAUUAAUUUUGGAUGCAGCAG